AUUGAACGCUGGCGGCAUGCCUUACACAUGCAAGUCGAACGGCAGCACGGGAGCAAUCCUGGUGGCGAGUGGCGAACGGGUGAGUAAUAUAUCGGAACGUGCCCAGUCGUGGGGGAUAACGCAGCGAAAGCUGUGCUAAUACCGCAUACGAUCCAUGGAUGAAAGCGGGGGAUCGCAAGACCUCGCGCGAUUGGAGCGGCCGAUAUCAGAUUAGCUAGUUGGUGGGGUAAAAGCCCACCAAGGCGACGAUCUGUAGCUGGUCUGAGAGGACGACCAGCCACACUGGAACUGAGACACGGUCCAGACUCCUACGGGAGGCAGCAGUGGGGAAUUUUGGACAAUGGGCGCAAGCCUGAUCCAGCAAUGCCGCGUGCAGGAUGAAGGCCUUCGGGUUGUAAAGCACUUUAGUGAGGGAGGAAGGCGAUAUGGCGAAUACCCGUAUUGAUUGACAGUACCUCAAGAAUAAGCACCGGCAAACUCUGUGCCAGCAGCCGCAGUAA
rnacentral:rRNA from 1 species